GAUGCCAUCCCACCUGCUCUGCUGCAGGACUCUGGAUAAUCGCACCUGAUCGCCGUUGGCAGGCAGCCACUGGAAACCACUAGCAGCACACUCAGAAACUGCACCAAAAGUGUGCAUGCAGCAUGGUGGUACUCAGACACCGCAUAUCCACACCAGAGAAGGCUUUAAUGGGAAUAUUUCAAAGAUGUGAAGAAGAAAUGACACUGACAUGUACCAGAGUGCAAUUCAAAGCUUAGGAGAUGAAGUUGCCUUUCAACAUAUAUGUCUUAAAGCACCAAAAGAGCUUAGGUGUCUGACUCAGCCUUCUGGAUCUGCAGUGCUAAUGGAAAGGACUUGAUCUGAAGCAUGCUGGAGUAGGUGAAAGAGGAGAGCAAUAGCUGCAGUGCCAUCCCAUGGUUUUCAAGAGGAUGCUGCCUCCAGGAGAGCUGGGUUGGAUCACAUGGGGAAGCAUAGUAAC